UACAGAGGGUGCGAGCGUUGUUCGGAAUUAUUGGGCGUAAAGCGCACGUAGGCGGAUUGUUAAGUUAGGGGUGAAAUCCCAGGGCUCAACCCUGGAACUGCCUUUAAUACUGGCAAUCUCGAGUCCGAGAGAGGUGAGUGGAAUUCCGAGUGUAGAGGUGAAAUUCGUAGAUAUUCGGAGGAACACCAGUGGCGAAGGCGGCUCACUGGCUCGGUACUGACGCUGAGGUGCGAAAGCGUGGGGAGCAAACAGG
rnacentral:rRNA from 1 species